AUACGUAGGUGACAAGCGUUAUCCGGAUUUACUGGGCGUAAAGGGCGUGUAGGCGGUCUUGCAAGUCAGAAGUGAAAUUCCUGAGCUCAACUCGGGCGCUGCUUCUGAAACUGCAGGACUUGAGUGCUGGAGGGGAUAGCGGAAUUCCUAGUGGAGCGGUAAAAUGCGCAGAUAUUAGGAAGAACACCGGUGGCGAAGGCGGCUAUCUGGACAGUAACUGACGCUGAGGCGCGAAAGCGUGGGGAGCAAACAGGAUUAGAUACCCUGGUAGUCCACGCUGUAAACGAUGAAUACUAGGUGUGGGGGGACUGACCCCCUCCGUGCCGCAGUUAACACAAUAAGUAUUCCACCUGGGGAGUACGAUCGCAAGAUUGAAACUCAAAUGAAUUGACGGGG
rnacentral:rRNA from 1 species